rnacentral:rRNA from 1 species
UACGGAGGGAGCUAGCGUUGUUCGGAAUUACUGGGCGUAAAGCGCACGUAGGCGGCUUUGUAAGUUAGAGGUGAAAGCCCGGGGCUCAACCCCGGAAUUGCCUUUAAGACUGCAUCGCUAGAAUUGUGGAGAGGUGAGUGGAAUUCCGAGUGUAGAGGUGAAAUUCGUAGAUAUUCGGAAGAACACCAGUGGCGAAGGCGACUCACUGGACACAUAUUGACGCUGAGGUGCGAAAGCGUGGGGAGCAAACAGG